AGAACAAGAUCAAGCCGUUGGAAAGAAGAAUGCGAAAGGCUGAGAAUAUAAGAAAAAAGAGUAAUUCCCUGUCCAGCACUGCUGAGAUUUUGUCUUUCCUUAAAAGGCAACAUAUCCGAAUAGAGGCACUUAUGGCAGUUGUGGACAUCCAUCAAAAGCGGAUCAAUACCCAAGAAGCAAAAAUUCAAAGAUUAUUGAUUAAGACUGGAUCAAUAAAAAAGAAAAGUAAAGAAAAUACUAUUGAAAGGCCAGCAGAUAAAACUGGAUUAUAAACUGUAGUCCUGUCAUAAAACCAACAAAUAUUGAAAUCCUGCAGAACAGUCAGCAAACAGCUGCAUUUGCCUUUUUCAUGGACUUUCCUGCUUGUCUCUCCCUAAACAUACAUGUAUGCAUAGAUAUCAAUUUAUCCUAGUUUUUAUGUGCACUUAUUUGCAUAUGUUCUUUUCUUGCUUAAAG